rnacentral:rRNA from 1 species
AAAUUGAAGAGUUUGAUCAUGGCUCAGAUUGAACGCUGGCGGCAGGCCUAACACAUGCAAGUCGAACGGUAACAGGAAGCAGCUUGCUGCUUCGCUGACGAGUGGCGGACGGGUGAGUAAUGUCUGGGAAACUGCCUGAUGGAGGGGGAUAACUACUGGAAACGGUGGCUAAUACCGCAUAACGUCGCAAGACCAAAGAGGGGGACCUUCGGGCCUCUUGCCAUCAGAUGUGCCCAGAUGGGAUUAGCUUGUUGGUGAGGUAACGGCUCACCAAGGCGACGAUCCCUAGCUGGUCUGAGAGGAUGACCAGCCACACUGGAACUGAGACACGGUCCAGACUCCUACGGGAGGCAGCAGUGGGGAAUAUUGCACAAU